UGGUUAGGGAUAUUAUGGAGGAGUUUUUCAUGACGUUGAAAGUUGAACUAGACCACUGCUAGGGUCCAUUCCAACUCAAGCUAGAAUGUAUUCAGAGGAGAGUGACAAGGUGGUGAAUAUGUUAUUGGAAGGCACUGAAGAAGUUGAAUUUGGACUUGAUAUAUGUUCAUCUCCUCAUCACAGUUGUGCUGUCAGAGAGCCAGCUAUUGGAAGGAGAAAUUUAAAGAUGCUUCCAGGACACUAAUCAAGAAUCUAUCAAUGUGGAUAAUCAUUCCAAAGAUGCAGUUGGCAACCAUUCUUGCUUUUCUAUCCCAUAUGACUCUUCUUUAAAGUCUAUGGUAAGUCCUCUACAAGGGGUCUGCUUAAUUUGCUGGGGCCUUCUUAUAGAUUU
rnacentral:lncRNA from 1 species